UCAUCUAUUUUUCUAUCUCUCAUCCUUAUAUUGAACAAUACAUCAAAAUAGACAGUAAAAUCAAAUAAAAGUAAGCCCAAAAAUAUACACGGCUCGGGCCAAAAAAAAGAUUUAUCUUUUAAUCCAAAAUGUAUGUAGUGUCCACGAUGAUUAGUUCACGCAUAAGAUCGAAAUGUAAUAUAAAAAAAUAUUUUUUUUUAUCAAUCUCAUGCGAAAAUCAAUCACCGCAGGUGAUGCACAUGAUUCUGCAUCGUCUGUGGUGCACGAAGAAUUUUGUAAAAUAUAAAUAUAACAAAGAAUAAUAUUAGAAAAGAAGAUCCAAUAAGAAUUAUGGGCGUACCCAUUUUGUAAGGCAGAGAAAGAGAAGCAGCAGCAGCAUAGCGGUGCAGUGUGAAGAUUGGAGCAUAAAAGAUAACAGGAACUUCACACGGGCCAAUACCCCACAGCCGAAAUUGGAUUGUGAGGUAUAUAUGGAUGCUGACUCAGACAUAGCAAAAACCACAAAUAUGCAUCUGAAACAGUAACUUCCAUAAGACAAAACUGAAC
rnacentral:lncRNA from 1 species